GGUACAUGGAUGAAUCUGGAAACCAUCAUUCUCAGCAAACUAUUGCAAGGACAAAAAACCAAACACCUCAUCUUAAUCACUUCAGUGUGGCUUGAAGCUUCAAGAAAGUAGCCAUCCAAUCACUGCACUUGGUUCAGCCCCUGUAGGCAGGGAUGAGUCUUGGGCAUCCAGCCUUCUGAGCUCAUAGUAGGUGUUAGUCUCUGGCUGCGCUGCGGUUAUGUUCUCAGCUCAGGAGCUGGGAAGCUCUGCAAAUAACUGGCUU
rnacentral:lncRNA from 10 species